UCUGGGACAAGCCCUGGAAACGGGGUCUAAUACCGGAUAAUACUUCCACUCGCAUGGGUGGGGGUUAAAAGCUCCGGCGGUGAAGGAUGAGCCCGCGGCCUAUCAGCUUGUUGGUGAGGUAAUGGCUCACCAAGGCGACGACGGGUAGCCGGCCUGAGAGGGCGACCGGCCACACUGGGACUGAGACACGGCCCAGACUCCUACGGGAGGCAGCAGUGGGGAAUAUUGCACAAUGGGCGAAAGCCUGAUGCAGCGACGCCGCGUGAGGGAUGACGGCCUUCGGGUUGUAAACCUCUUUCAGCAGGGAAGAAGCGAAAGUGACGGUACCUGCAGAAGAAGCGCCGGCUAACUACGUGCCAGCAGCCGCGGUAAUACGUAGGGCGCAAGCGUUGUCCGGAAUUAUUGGGCGUAAAGAGCUCGUAGGCGGUCUGUCACGUCGGAUGUGAAAGCCCGGGGCUUAACCCCGGGUCUGCAUUCGAUACGGGCAGACUAGAGUGUGGUAGGGGAGAUCGGAAUUCCUGGGUUGUAGCGGUGAAAUGCGCAGAUAUCAGGAGGAACACCGGUGGCGAAGGCGGAUCUCUGGGCCAUUACUGACGCUGAGGAGCGAAAGCGUGGGGAGCGAACAGGAUUAGAUACCCUGGUAGUCCACGCCGUAAACGGUGGGAACUAGGUGUUGGCGACAUUCCACGUCGUCGGUGCCGCAGCUAACGCAUUAAGUUCCCCGCCUGG
rnacentral:rRNA from 1 species